GGAAGGGUGCUGGCGUCAAAGCUCAGUGACAGAGUACUGCAGGCACAGCGGGUACUAACUCAGCCCUUCGGACUCCAGUCUUCUUUCCACUCCAUCAGUCUGCAUCUUAGCUCUCUCCAUCUCUGUCUCCACAUCUGCUAAAUGACAGUGCCCAGGAGAAUGAACAGGACAUCUGUGGGCCACAGUCUGCAGAGAAGAAAAAUGAAUGAGACCACACUGGCAUCCCCCGAGACAUGGGUUCCCAUCUGCUCCCAAUAAGCAAGCCAUCCAGGGCACCAACUUGUACAUGUAGUGACCCCAAGGCCUCUCCAGAUCCACCAGUUACUUCCAGGCCCCUUUUAAAAAGAGAUCAGAAUACAAGAAAGCGAAGGAAAUAAUGUGACUUUAUAGCCACCUCAUUGAUCCUUGAACCCUGUAGCCCACGGUGGCAGAUGGCUACAACAACAUCUCCCACUCCACGUGCUGUCCUGCAAUGUGACCUUGCCAGCCCCUCAUCAGGAGCAUGCAGUUUUGAUACCUGGAAGAAGGCAGAACAGGAACUAUCUUGCCACCAUGAGGGUGAAAACCACAGUCUAGAAAUGAUGGUGCAAAAUGAUACACUGAUUUCA